rnacentral:rRNA from 1 species
CCUACGGGUGGCUGCAGUGGGGAAUAUUGCACAAUGGGGGAAACCCUGAUGCAGCAACGCCGCGUGAGCGAUGAAGGCCUUCGGGUCGUAAAGCUCUGUCCUAAGGGAAGAAUACUGACGGUACCUCAGGAGGAAGCCCCGGCUAAAUACGUGCCAGCAGCCGCGGUAAUACGUAGGGGGCUCGCGUUAUCCGGAAUUACUGAGCGUAAAGGGUGCGUAGGCGGCCCUUCAAGUCAGAGGUGAAAGGCUACGGCUCAACCGUAGUAAGCCUUUGAAACUGUAGGGCGUGAGUGCAGGAGAGGUGAGUGGAAGUCCCAGGGAAGCGGUGAAAUUCGUAGAAAUUGGGAAGAACACCAGUUGAGAAGGCGGCUCUCUGGACUGUAACUGACGCUGAGGCACGAAAGCGAGGGGAGCUAACAGGAUUAGAUACCCUUGUAGUC